rnacentral:rRNA from 1 species
AUUGAACGCUGGCGGCAUGCUUUACACAUGCAAGUCGAACGGUAACAGGGAGCUUGCUCCGCUGACGAGUGGCGAACGGGUGAGUAAUAUAUCGGAACGUACCCAAGAGUGGGGGAUAACGUAGCGAAAGUUACGCUAAUACCGCAUACGAUCUAAGGAGGAAAGCAGGGGACCUUCGGGCCUUGUGCUCCUGGAGCGGCCGAUAUCUGAUUAGCUAGUUGGUGAGGUAAAGGCUCACCAAGGCGACGAUCAGUAGCUGGUCUGAGAGGACGACCAGCCACACUGGAACUGAGACACGGUCCAGACUCCUACGGGAGGCAGCAGUGGGGAAUUUUGGACAAUGGGCGCAAGCCUGAUCCAGCAAUGCCGCGUGAGUGAAGAAGGCCUUCGGGUUGUAAAGCUCUUUUGUCAGGGAAGAAACGGGAUUGGCUAAUAUCCAGUCCUAAUGACGGUACCUGAAGAAUAAGCACCGGCUAACUACGUG